rnacentral:pre_miRNA from 1 species
GAGUCAUCCUUAUGGAGUAGGACUUGCUUCAGUGGGGGCUUUGGUGCCACUGAGUCUGCCCCUUGAGUGUGUCGCU